GACGAACGCUGGCGGCGUACUUAACACAUGCAAGUCGAACGAGGCCCUUCUCUUCGGAGAAGGUGCCCUAGUGGCGAACGGGUGAGUAACACGUGGGCAACCUGCCCCUAGCACUGGGAUAACUCCGGGAAACCGGGGCUAAUACCGGAUAUGACCUCCUUAGGCAUCUUUGGAGGUGGAAAAGAUUCUGGCUAGGGAUGGGCCCGCGGCCUAUCAGCUUGUUGGUGGGGUAACGGCCCACCAAGGCUCCGACGGGUAGCCGGCCUGAGAGGGCGACCGGCCACACUGGGACUGAGACACGGCCCAGACUCCUACGGGAGGCAGCAGUGGGGAAUAUUGCACAAUGGGCGAAAGCCUGAUGCAGCGACGCCGCGUGAGGGAUGACUGCCUUCGGGUUGUAAACCUCUUUCAGCAGGGACGAAGCGAAAGUGACGGUA
rnacentral:rRNA from 1 species